GGGGGCAUAGCUCAGCUGGGAGAGCGUUUGGCUGGCAGCCAAAAGGUCAGGGGUUCGAUCCCCCUUGUUUCCACUA
rnacentral:tRNA from 1 species